GAAAUGCGAUAAGUAAUGUGAAUUGCAGAAUUCAGUGAAUCAUCGAAUCUUUGAACGCAUCUUGCGCUCCUUGGUAUUCCAUGGAGCAUGCCUGUUUGAGUGUCACGUAAACCCUCACCCUUGCGAUGUUAAAGUCGCAAGCGGUGGAUUUGGACCGUGCCGUAAUUGGCUCGUCCUGAAAUGCAUUAGCUUGCGCUUUUUAGAGUGCUCGGCAUGGUGUGAUAAUUAUCUGCGCCGUCGCCUUAGGCCUCUUCUAUGUGUGCUGCUUCUAAUCGUCCCUCGAGGACACUAUAUUUUAAACUUUGGCCUCAAAUCAGGUAGGACUACCCGCUGAACUUAA
rnacentral:misc_RNA from 1 species